UUGGCUUUAUUCCCACUACGACUCGUCAAUCAUCAUUUCUGAAUUGACCCAGAAAUCAUGGAGGAAAGAAACUAUUCUCUCUCGCUCUCUUCUCUUCUCCCUCACACUAUGCCGCUCCGGUAUCUUCCCUUCUCUAUUUCACUAUCUCUCACUCUCUAUAUAUCUCCCGCCCAACGCAAGGUCUGCAUUAGGGAAGGGGCAAGUCGUCUUCCAUAGAGCUCCUCCAUCGCUGCAUCUUGAAGAUCCUUCUCGGAUGGCCCCAAACUAAUGCCUGAAGCCUCUCAAUUUUCUUCUCAUCUCUUCCCUUCGAUGGUGGUUUCUUCUAAUCUUCAAGCGCAAGGUCCUCUCAGUUGCAGCCUCGUUAGAGGCCAGGUUUUGAUGAGGCUGUUAGGAACCCCACUUGAUCCUAGUUUCAGCCUCGUUAGAGGCCAGGUUUGUGAGUUCUUGAAUUUCUCAAACUUAACCUAGUUCUCUAGCCUCUGAAGAUUUGCCUGCUACAAGAUUCCAAUCGCUGCUGUCACGAUAUGAGUUAUCCUUCUCUGAACUCAAAUAUCUAAAGAUUGGUCUUCAAUCUGCAUGAUUUGCACAUCUUUCCUAUGGUCCUUGGUGAGGUGUAAAGGCCAUAACUGCCCUCAUGAAGGGAGGAUGCAAAUGAGGUCAUACAAGUGGAAGUUUAGGGAGGAGUUUGAGGGGGCAGUGCUUGAGAGACACUCAGCACCAACCGCAUAUGAUAGUGAGAAGGAUACUCCUGCUGAUGUGGAGACAGAAGCAGAGGCGAGAGAGACACUUCAUGCUAAGGCAGCCAACAAAAUUGCACAUUGGCAGGAGCAGAAUAAAGGCAGGGAGUUCAAGGAGCUGGUUCUUCAAGCAUACUAUGACAUGGCCAUCUUUGUGAGACAGAGGAAUGGUUCCGUUGGCGGCAACAAUCUUCUAAAGGUUUUGAGCCUCCUCGAAAAUCUAUGUGGUAUUGACAUUGGUGUACUGUUAAAUGGUUAUUCUUCUUCUUCAUUCUUAAUACACAUUUCAAUUUCUUUUAUUGAAUGCAUACUGUUAGUGCUAAAUUAUGGGUAGAAAAGGUAAUAUAAGGGAAAGGACAUGGUAGGCUACGACAUACACUAGCAACCUCCUAAAAACAUGCUUGAAUAGUCUUGCCUUGAAGUUUCAGGUAAAAUUCAAAUGUUUGACUGCUUAAAUGGCCAAUUUAAUUUUUUGUCUGAAAUGUACCAUAUCUCCACCAAAAUUUUGGUAAUUUUACAGUACAUUUUGGUUUCGACUAGGGUAAUCACUAACCUUGAUGUCACUAUACAUGGUCAGUUGAAUCUAACUGGAUAGGAACCUCGCCUAAUCAUUGUUAUAAGGAUGAAAACUAUUUCAGAUGGACUUAAAAAAAGAUUUAUUGUUUGAAAGUGGUUGUUUGUUUUAAACUUUUAAAUUUAGUAUGUUCCUGGAAUGUACAUUAGUUUCUUUUUUCCCGUUAUGAUCUUGUCGGUCUGCAAGAUUUAAGAAAUUAGGUUCCAUUGUGGACGUAAAUUUAUAGCUUGUGCUUCUUGUAUAACAUGUCCACGGUUCCAAAGCUGCCAUGGACCAUAUGCUUACAGUAUCGAAGGAUCACAUCCAGGUGCAUCUUCUUAUAUAUAAUUUUAUGCUGAUAUAAUGCAGGACAUGCAAUUUUCUCACAAUUUUUAUUAGAUCUCCUUGCAAUGAUCAUUAUGGUUGAAUUGGUAGGGACCAAGGGAAUUUUAUGAUGGACCUCUUAUCAAAUGCAUCAAUUCACAUGUUUCAGUUGAAAAGUUGAUGCCCCUGGAGAACAAUUAAAUGUCGCUUCAUAUUUAAAUGAAUUGUUGCUGUUAAAGAAUAGACCCUAUAUACUAUGGGGGUACAGUUUCAUGUCUACCACGAUAUGGGGGUCUGUAAGAGUAUUGAUUUUGCUACUCUCUUAACAAUCUCUCCCUCUUUUUUUUCUUUCUCUCUACUCUCCUCUCUUCUACUGCAGUUACUAAUUACAGAUCCUGGUUUGCCACAGUUGCUCUAGCAACCAUGGCUGCAGGGUAUGAAUCUCAGUUUUUAAUUUUAACCUAGUAACAUCCGGGUACACUGAUGCUGUUCUAUUAGGGAUGAGGAUCAGUAACUUCAGCUCCAUCAAUUCCUUUUAAUAUGGUGUCUAAUCUCAGUUUGAGAUGGUCUAAAAUGGGUAAAGACUAAAAGCCUCAGACAGACCUGUAGAAACUACGGAAUUCUGUUGGCUUUUAAGUUGUGUCAUUGAGCUUUUGUUUGGUGGCUGCAACUUUGAAAAGCAACGAUGUUUCAGCCUUAUGCCAAUCCAAUGUUGAAAUCUGUCCUAUGGUAAAACAUCACCAUUCACACCCAUUAAGGCACAUUUGCCACCUUAGGCAUAUAUAUAGCUAAAAUAAUGGUUUAAAGGUAGUCACUGGUACUAUUGGGGAUUUGAAGGAUAUGUUCCAUUAUUUACGAACUAAGAUAUUUUCUACGUUUCUUGGAUUCCGUUGUGUUUGGUUCUGAUACUUGUUGCCUACAAGAUAACUGAUAACUUUUGAAAUUUUAAUGCUUCAAGUGACACUUAUCUGGACCUCCAUUUUAAUUUCUUUUCUUUCCUUCUUUCUGUUAUUUCUUCUUUUUGGUGGGGAUAUGGUUAUUGGUUAGUUCUUUGCCUCAGUUCAGCCUUUGAUAAGCCCAAGAACACAGUUGCAUAGAAACUUCUUUGAUCAUGAUGAUAGGGGCCUUCAUCUUCCUAUUCUUUGGUACUACAAAUGACUUGAGUCCACUGGCCUAUCAAUAGGAGUUUGACGGCAGGCAGAUCUUGGUAUUUGGAGAGACAAGGCAGGCGAUAACAUCCGAAGCACAUCAACAACUGACCACAAGAUGCCACUCCUUAAGGAGCCAACAAGAGUGCGGGGUGAAAAUGAAUUGUUGUCUUACCUCGCCAAGCAUAUUUUUCAUGUUCUUGUUUAUUGAUGAACAUGCACUCUUGGCUCAAUAUUUUUUUCUGUAUUUUUGUUAUAUAUUGUUGACUGUAACAUAUAUGUAAGCAUUUCUCACGGUUUUCCCCCCUACCUUUUUUUUUUGGACAGCCUGGCCGUGAGAUUAUGAGGAGUUCCCUCGUAAUGUAGUAAUUCAAAUGUGUUUCAUUACAGUUUUUAUUAAGUCAUUCUGUCCAUUUAUUUGGGAUCA